rnacentral:rRNA from 1 species
GAUGAACGCUGGCGGCGUGCUUAACACAUGCAAGUCGAACGAUGAAGCCCAGCUUUCCGGGUGGAUUUGUGUCGAACGCGUGAGUAACACGUGAGUAACCUGCCCUUGACUCUGGGAUAAGCCUGGGAAACUCGGCCUCUUACUGCGUAUGCCUUCUCAUCGCCUGUUGGUGGUUUGUGGGAUUUAUUGGUCUUGGAUGGACUCGCGGCCUAUCAGCUUGUUGGUGAGGUAAUGGCUCACCAAGGCGACGACGGGUAGCCGGCCUGAGAGGGUGACCGGCCACACUGGGACUGAGACACGGCCCAGACUCCUACGGGAGGCAGCAGUGGGGAAUAUUGCACAAUGGGCGAAAGCCUGAUGCAGCGACGCCGCGUGAGGGAUGACGGCCUUCGGGUUGUAAACCUCUUUCAGUAGGGAAGAAGCGAGAGUGACGGUACCUGCAGAAGAAGCGCCGGCUAACUACGUG